GACCAAGGAGUCUAACAUGUGCGCGAGUCGUCGGGUCUUGAAUAGGCCCGCAGGCGCAAUUAAAGUGAAGGGCGACCCCGUUGUCGUCUGCGUUGGGAUCCUCAGACUGCCGUGUCUGGGGCGCACCAACGGCCCGUCCCGUCCGCAGCGUCGGUGGGACGGAGCGAGAGCGUACACGUUGGGACCCGAAAGAUGGUGAACUAUGCCUGGGCAGGACGAGGCCAGAGGAAACUCUGGUGGAGGUCCGCAGCGAUUCUGACGUGCAAAUCGAUCGUCAGACCUGGGUAUAGGGGCGAAAGACUAAUCGAACCGUCUAGUAGCUGGUUCCCUCCGAAGUUUCCCUCAGGAUAGCUGGCGCUCGAGGGAGUCAGUCUCAUCCGGUAAAGCGAAUGAUUAGAGGCCUUGGGGCCGAAACGACCUCAACCUAUUCUCAAACUUUCAAUGGGUGAGAAGUCCGGUUUACAUGACUGAAGCCCGGACAAUUCUCAGGAUGCGAGUGCCCAGUGGGCCACUUUU
rnacentral:rRNA from 1 species